rnacentral:piRNA from 1 species
UGAACUAGAUUCUGAUGUCCCAAUGUGUU